rnacentral:rRNA from 1 species
UACGGAGGAUCCGAGCGUUAUCCGGAUUUAUUGGGUUUAAAGGGUGCGUAGGCGGACUGUCAAGUCAGCGGUAAAAUACGGGGGCUCAACCCGGCCGGCCGUUGAACUGGAGAUCUUGAGUGGGCGAGAAGUAUGCGGAAUGCGUGGUGUAGCGGUGAAAUGCAUAGAUAUCACGCAGAACUCCGAUUGCGAAGGCAGCAUACCGGCGCCCGACUGACGCUGAGGAGCGAAAGCGUGGGGAGCGAACAGG